CUCUGCAAUGCUCUGUGCACGCGUCUGGCUGUGAAAAUUCAUUCUUUCACAUUUAUGAAACUCCAUUCUUUUAAGUGCUCACCAACAAGCAUGCAUCUCUUAAGCUGCAAUACAACGUUGGAUGGCGAGGCCUCAUUGGGAGUUAACUACGGUGCUUUGACUUGAAAGAAAAUUGUACAUUUGGCUGUUGAAUUCGGUGUAGAUAUUGAUACCCCGCAUUGGCUCAGCGGGUCGUUUGUCUUUAAACAAGAGUGAUUUCGAGACUCAUGCACGUCGUUCAUCCCAUUGAUAGACAACUGGACGAUGUAGACUAGAGCAAGAGUCAAGACUGUGAUGAACGACGGAGCUGCAAAAACCACUGAAAUUGAAAGAGUCUUUGUUGCCAUGAAUAAGAAGUCAUGGCAACCACAUUGACUCCGCCUUCUUGCAAUAAGAAUAUGUCAAUUAUUUCCGUGUGCUCUCUCUCGGAGUCCUGAACGAUCGCUCUACAAUGUUAUCUUCCAAGUGUGCCUUUGCGCGCUGUUCUCGAGUCGCUACAGUGAACCACGCACUCAAUGGAGGAAGACUAGCGGCGUACUUCGUAAAUUCAGAAGUUUAGUAAGGUAAAGAACAUCUAUAAUUGCAAGCAAUCACCUCUAAUUGCUGAACUAGCUUGAGCCAGCUGUUACUCCGGUACUUUAGCUUCU